rnacentral:rRNA from 1 species
UAGGGAAUCUUCGGCAAUGGGGGGAACCCUGACCGAGCAACGCCGCGUGAGUGAAGAAGGUUUUCGGAUCGUAAAGCUCUGUUGUUAAGGAAGAACGAGUGUGAGAAUGGAAAGUUCAUACUGUGACGGUACUUAACCAGAGGGGGACGGCUAACUACGUGCCAGCAGCCGCGGUAAUACGUAGGUCCCGAGCGUUGUCCGGAUUUAUUGGGCGUAAAGCGAGCGCAGGCGGUUAGAUAAGUCUGAAGUUAAAGGCAGUGGCUCAACCAUUGUAGGCUUUGGAAACUGUUUAACUUGAGUGCAGAAGGGGAGAGUGGAAUUCCAUGUGUAGCGGUGAAAUGCGUAGAUAUAUGGAGGAACACCAGUGGCGAAGGCGGCUCUCUGGUCUGCAACUGACGCUGAGGCUCGAAAGCAUGGGUAGCGAACAGGAUUAGAUACCCUGGUAGUCCAUGCCGUAAACGAUGAGUGCUAAGUGUUGGGAGGUUUCCGCCUCUCAGUGCUGCAGCUAACGCAUUAAGCACUCCGCCUGGGGAGUACGACCGCAAGGUUG